GGCGCCAUGGCUUAGUUGGUUGAAGCGCCUGUCUAGUAAACAGGAGGUCCUGAGUUCGAAUCUCAGUGGUGCCU
rnacentral:tRNA from 1 species